AGACGAUUCCUUAGUGGUCGGUACGUUAUGCCUUUUAGCUGUUGAUAUCAGAAUCCAAGUUAAUCAUCGUCUUUUUAAAUCAAUCGAACUAAUCCUUUACGUUUUCCCUUUGUUUUUCAGCGUUCCCUUCUCAACAUGAGGGCGAAGUGGAGAAAGAAGCGCAUGCGCAGGCUGAAGCGUAAAAGGAGGAAGAUGAGGCAGAGGUCCAAGUAAACUGUUUGCUCCGCCGUGGCUGUGAAGGCACAUGUUGCCAGCAAACUAGGCCGGCGAGCACAGCUGAAGACCAGGACCACCCCCCCCUUGUCAAGUCUGUCAGUGGUGCCCAUUUCAACGUGAGGCAACAGAGCUACAGCAGCUGAUGCUGGAGCACUGAUUCAGGACCUGCUGAAUGACAGACUUUGUUUUUUUUCGGGACAUACUGGACUCAUUGUUCUUAAUUCCUCAACUUUUGUCUUUUGUUUAUACUGUGAUUAAAGGUUUUGGUUUCUAAAA